AUGGCUGUCGUCAGCUCGUGUCGUGAGAUGUUGGGUUAAGUCCCGCAACGAGCGCAACCCUUGUCCUAUGUUGCCAGCGGGUAAUGCCGGGGACUCGUAGGAGACUGCCGGGGUCAACUCGGAGGAAGGUGGGGACGACGUCAAGUCAUCAUGCCCCUUACGUCCAGGGCUGCACACAUGCUACAAUGGCCGGUACAGAGGGCUGCUAUCCCGCGAGGGUGAGCUAAUCCCAAAAAGCCGGUCUCAGUUCGGAUUGGAGUCUGCAACUCGACUCCAUGAAGUCGGAGUCGCUAGUAAUCCCGAAUCAGCAACGUCGGGGUGAAUACGUUCCCGGGCCUUGUACACACCGCCCGUCAAACCACGAAAGUCGGCAACACCCGAAGCCGGUCACCCAACCUUUUAGGAGGGAGCCGUCGAAGGUGGGGUUGGUGAUUGGGGUUAAGUCGUAACAAGGUAGCCGUACCGGAAGGUGCGGCUGGAUCACCUCCUUUCUAAGGAGAAUGUGGAAGAAGUGCUCAAGCGAUUGUCUUGAGUAACCUGCACACUCCCAGUCGAUCACUGGUUAAUCGGCGUUCACGGCAGCUAAUUCGGCUGGUUGUAUGACAAAGCUUCGGCGGCGUCAUCCCCCCGGAGAAGCAAUGUGAAUCUCGGACUGUUCCUGUUCCGUUUUCAGGGUGCGGCGCGUUGUCGCGUCCCUUGAGAAUUCCAUAGCGAGCACGAGCAUCUAAUUCUCCAAGCUACAAAGUGUCAACGGUGAAUGCCUUGGCGUCUAAUGCCGAUGAAGGACGUGGGAGGCUGCGAAAAGCCACGGGGAGCUGCCUACCAAGCUUCGAUCCGUGGAUGUCCGAAUGGGGAAACCCGG
rnacentral:sRNA from 1 species